CCUCGUGUUGCAUCCCUCUUUUAUGUUUAACCUUUUUUUUUUUGGUUAAAACUUUAUGACUCCAUAACUUUUAGACCGUGAGGCCAAACUUGGCAUGUGAUACCUUUUCGGAAAGCCCAAAGACAGCCCCUCCGACGAAAGAAGCAGGACAAUGGAACUUCCAUUGACGUUUUGUCGACCACAAAUUUUGACCUUUAGCUACUUUUUCGGGCAUUUUUCGUGAUUUGGGCUAUAUUACGGACCCAAAAUUACUUGUUCAAGCAUUGUUUUCGAAUUUUUUCAUGCAUCAAAGCUCAUUAAGACUAGAUGGGGUAUCCCUACAUAGCGGGUGGGACCCACGGCAAUGGUUCAUCAAGUCUUUCAAAAAAGAAUAUAUACGAUUGCAUUGCAUAUACUAACGGAUGCGAUCAUACCAGCACUAAUGCACCGGAUCCCAUCAGAACUCCGCAGUUAAGCGUGCUUGGGCGAGAGUAGUAGCUAGGAUGGCGGGUGACCUCCCGGGAAGAAUCNCUAGUCGC
rnacentral:rRNA from 1 species